GACGAACGCUGGCGGCGUGCUUAACACAUGCAAGUCGAACGGAAAGGCCCUGCUUUUGUGGGGUGCUCGAGUGGCGAACGGGUGAGUAACACGUGAGUAACCUGCCCUUGACUUUGGGAUAACUUCAGGAAACUGGGGCAAUACCGGAUAGGAGCUCCUGCUGCAUGGUGGGGGUUGGAAAGAUUCGGCGGUUGGGGAUGGACUCGCGGCUUAUCAGCUUGUUGGUGGGGUAGUGGCUUACCAAGGCUUUGACGGGUAGCCGGCCUGAGAGGGUGACCGGCCACAUUGGGACUGAGAUACGGCCCAGACUCCUACGGGAGGCAGCAGUGGGGAAUAUUGCACAAUGGGCGGAAGCCUGAUGCAGCAACGCCGCGUGCGGGAUGACGGCCUUCGGGUUGUAAACCGCUUUCGCCUGUGACGAAGCGUGAGUGACGGUAAUGGGUAAAGAAGCACCGGCUAACUACGUG
rnacentral:rRNA from 1 species